rnacentral:rRNA from 1 species
GUCUACAGCCAUGCUACUCUGAACGAGGUGGAUCCCGUCUAAUCUCGAAAGCUAAGCAGGGUGGGGCCUGGUUAGUGCUUGGAUGGGAGACCACCUAGGAAGACCAGGCGCUAUAGGCG